rnacentral:rRNA from 1 species
CGGUAACAGGUCCAGCUUGCUGGAUGCUGACGAGCGGCGGACGGGUGAGUAACGCAUAGGAAUCUACCCGGUAGUGGGGGAUAACCUGGGGAAACCCAGGCUAAUACCGCAUACGUCCUACGGGAGAAAGGGGGCUUAGGCUCCCGCUAUUGGAUGAGCCUAUGCCGGAUUAGCUGGUUGGUGAGGUAAUGGCUCACCAAGGCGACGAUCCGUAGCUGGUCUGAGAGGAUGAUCAGCCACAUCGGGACUGAGACACGGCCCGAACUCCUACGGGAGGCAGCAGUGGGGAAUAUUGGACAAUGGGGGCAACCCUGAUCCAGCCAUGCCGCGUGUGUGAAGAAGGCCCUCGGGUUGUAAAGCACUUUCAGCGAGGAAGAACGCCUGUCGGUUAAUACCCGGCAGGAAAGACAUCACUCGCAGAAGAAGCACCGGCUAACUCCGUGCCAGCAGCCGCGGUAAUACGGAGGGUGCAAGCGUUAAUCGGAAUUACUGGGCGUAAAGCGCGCGUAGGUGGCUUGAUAAGCCGGUUGUGAAAGCCCCGGGCUCAACCUGGGAACGGCAUCCGGAACUAUUAGGCUAGAGUGCAGGAGAGGAAGGUAGAAUUCCCGGUGUAGCGGUGAAAUGCGUAGAGAUCGGGAGGAAUACCAGUGGCGAAGGCGGCCUUCUGGACUGACACUGACACUGAGGUGCGAAAGCGUGGGUAGCAAACAGGAUUAGAUACCCUGGUAGUCCACGCCGUAAACGAUGUCGACCAGCCGUUGGGUGCCUAGCGCACUUUGUGGCGAAGUUAACGCGAUAAG